GUCGCAUCUGGAGAGAUCCGGGGGGGGGCCUUGCUAUCGACCGCACCUAUGUCGCCGCAGGAGGGCAGGCGCGUGUCAUGGAGGCGCCGUGGGCGGCGGCGGGGGCGCGCCCGCAGCGGAUGAAGACGGCGUCUUCCCGGUUGCCAUCUUUCCCGGCGGCGCGGCGUCGGCGUGCUCCGUCUAAGAUGAGAUCAGCGAGGGCGCGGGCUUGGGGAGAGGGUGGGUGGCGGCCUCUUCUGUGGCUGCCCAUGACAGUUGUGGAGCCCUGGCCGGCGAGUGCAGUGGCGAGAGCGCCCCAGCGGAGUGCCUGAUCCAAAGUCGACAGGCUGGAUAAGGAGACAUCCGAAUGUAAUUGGUGCAGUGGCUAUGAGCGCGUGCAGCCUAACAGUAGGUUGCGUGCUGAAUUCUCCAAAAAAAAACUAGAUCGAGUGUUGGAGUGUAGGAGUUUAACAUUUUCCCUUUUAAUUUUCAGGUCGGGGCUCACAUGUCAUACAUCAAAUAAAACAAAAUACCAUCUACCGCGUGGGCAGGGUCUUCUUUUGUGAGAAAUAAAAAAUAUUGAGGUUUUUUUGCAAAAAAAACAGGGCACGCACUUCUAGUCAUUGACAGAUGGCCCCACGCCACACUGGCGGCCAAGUCAGCGUUGAUUUCGUAUCCAAACGCGGUUAGCACUCUAUUUGCACAACCGAGUCAAGUUAUUACAUCAGUACAAUGUAUAUCACAAGUUCUAGCACUAAAGUGACCGUUUACGCCAAGUUCAAGCAUCAUCGGUGUAAUCGACUCAAAACCACAGUUUGUGGGAUACAUAAAGGUCAUGGGGUUGAAUGAGCCACACAUGGCGCUCCUGGACUAAAUUAAAAGAAAAUUUAGCUAAACUAUCAGCAUCUUUGUUUGAACGACGCCCUUCAUAGACUAUCUUGCUGUUGAUACUCACAGCCCUUGCUUUAAUUUCGGUGAUGAUGGAUCCAUAAACGCCCCUGACAUUCCGGUUUAUAUCAUCUACCACUUGUUUUGCAUCCAACGCAAUAAUGAUGUUUUGAAGACCUAAAUCUUCUACCAGUGCAAAAGCUUCUCGGCAAGCUAUCGCCUCCAGAGUAGGUGCAUCGUGUACUCCUGAGAUCACUAGAGAAGAGCUUCCCAGGUAUGCGCCAUGCUCAUCUCGGCAAACUGCGGCGGCUGUUCCACUCAUGUGAUGCUUUGAGACACCUGCAUCAACAUGAAACUUUGCAUAGCCAGCCGGCGGAGCCUUGGGCCUUGUGUUACCAAUUGGAGCUUGCUGAUUCAGGCCUCUCGGUUUCCUGGCUGGUUGCUGAUCCUUUAUAAUUUCCAGUUCCGUCAUGUACCUACUAAUGAACGUAUGAGUUGCUUGAGGGCUCUGAAAUUCGCCUUCAUAUAUUGCCUUUUCACCGCGCUGUCCAUGUCGCCCACAAUGUGAUUGCUAGGAGUAAUUGACAAAAAAACUACCACAUUUCACAUAAGCGUCCCACAGAACUACCACAUUUUGAAAACUGACCAAAAACUUCAGUUUAACGCUGAUUUCGUGACAAAAAACUACCACAUCGCGUUGAUGACUGAUUGAAGCGUUUUAAACGACUUUCUGACAGACCCGGCCCACCGGUCGGGACGGAGGCCGCGCUAACGGCUAACGGCGCUCACCUGCCGCCCGUUAGCCGCGCGUGUCGGUCGGGCCCGGUCGGACCAGGCAUAACCUGGCCGAACGGCUCGCUCCUCGUCCUCACCACCUCACUCUUCCCCGACUCACUCUGCUCCUUUGCUCUCCACUGCUCCUCUUCUUCUUCUCGCAUUCCGGCGACGCCGCGACCAUGCCGUCGUGGCCCAACAGCAACGAGACCUCUGACGAUGAUGACGAGUACAUGAGCGAGUUCAGUAGCAUGAAUAUGGAGUAUUUUGUAAGUCAGCUCAAUCUCUCCUCUCCUCUCCUCUGCUAGGGUUAGGGUUAGGGUUUGAAGAAGGAUAGGGAUUUCCCCAUUUAAGUUCAUGUAUGCGAGUUCCAGUUGACAUAUAUGUGUUUCCUGCUGCAGCAAACUCCAGAUACUGUGAUAGAUCCAAGCUUUUCUGGGCUUGUGACCGAAUCUGACCGUAGGUGCAUCCUGCACAGGGAGAGGGCUGGCAAAUUUGUGGCAUUUGAAGGCACUGACACUGGCAGGAGAUUCAUAGGAUGUGCAACUGAGGAUGGUGUGAACUGUGGUGUUUUAGAGUGGGUAGAUGCCCCUUGGCAUGUGAUUUUUGCAAAGGUGCUUAACCAAGCUCUGGGAUAUGUAUCAUGAGGAGAACCUUGGUAGAGUGCAAGACAAAGAGGCUCAUGAGAUAGAGGUUGAGAAACUGAAGAAGGAGCUGGAUUCUCUUGGCAAUCAGUACAGUCAGCUUGUGGAUGAUGUAUCCAAGCUAUUUGAUUACCAGGAUGGGCAGAAAUCCCAUGACAUGGAUUACACAAGCCAGGCAAUCAAUGAACUUAAGGAGAAGAAGCAUCAGCUUGAGGAGCGGGCAAAGAUUGAGAUUCAAAUGGAGAAGCUUAAGCUCAAGAAAGAACAAAGGUGCAUCCUGCAGAGUCAAGCUGAUAUCAUUCAAAACACCAGGAAAGCCAUGAAGGAGAUACAAGUUGAGAGAGACCUCCUUAAAGAAGAGAAGAAGAAGCUGGAGCAUAUCAUUGCUGAGCUCUUGAAGGCAGGUCACGGGUGCAAAGAAAAGCUAGACAAGAUCAAAGAAGUUGUCAUGGAGGAGUGAAGUGGUAGCUAGGGUUGGUAAGUGAAUAUGAGGCCUAUAUAUAUAACUGGCCUAGUACUAGAAUCUGAUGCAGAUAUGCAUCUUAGUAUUAAUAUGAACUCCCUAUGAACUGCCUAUGGUUUCAGAUCA